rnacentral:rRNA from 1 species
UACGGGGGGGGCAAGCGUUGUUCGGAAUUACUGGGCGUAAAGGGCUCGUAGGCGGCCAACUAAGUCAGACGUGAAAUCCCUCGGCUUAACCGGGGAACUGCGUCUGAUACUGGAUGGCUUGAGUUUGGGAGAGGGAUGCGGAAUUCCAGGUGUAGCGGUGAAAUGCGUAGAUAUCAGGAGGAAUACCUAUGGCGAAAGCAGGUAUCUGGGCCAUCACUGACGCUGAGCUGCGAAAGCUAGGGGAGCAAACAGG